rnacentral:rRNA from 1 species
AUUGAACGCUGGCGGCAGGCUUAACACAUGCAAGUCGAGCGAGCGGCGGACGGGUGAGUAAUGUCUGGGAAACUGCCUGAUGGAGGGGGAUAACUACUGGAAACGGUAGCUAAUACCGCAUACCAUCAGAUGUGCCCAGAUGGGAUUAGCUAGUAGGUGGGGUAAGGGCUCACCUAGGCGACGAUCCCUAGCUGGUCUGAGAGGAUGACCAUGCACAAUGGAACUGAUACACGGUCCAGACUCCUACGGGAGGCAGCCAUGGGGAAUAUUACACAAUGGGCGCAAGCCUGAUGCAGCCAUGCCGCGUGUGUAAAGAAGGCCUUCGGGUUGUAAAGCACUUUCAGCGAGGAAGCGUUACUCGCAGAAGAAGCACCGGCGAACACCGUGCCAGCAGCCGCGGUAAUGC